rnacentral:rRNA from 1 species
GACGAACGCUGGCGGCGUGCUUAACACAUGCAAGUCGAACGGAAAGGCCCCUUUGGGGGUACUCGAGUGGCGAACGGGUGAGUAACACGUGAGUAACCUGCCCUUGACUUCGGGAUAACUUCAGGAAACUGGGGCUAAUACCGGAUAGGAAUCCUUGCUGCAUGGUGGGGGUUGGAAAGCUUCGGCGGUUUUGGAUGGACUCGCGGCUUAUCAGCUUGUUGGUGGGGUAGUGGCUUACCAAGGCUUUGACGGGUAGCCGGCCUGAGAGGGCGACCGGCCACAUUGGGACUGAGAUACGGCCCAGACUCCUACGGGAGGCAGCAGUGGGGAAUAUUGCACAAUGGGCGGAAGCCUGAUGCAGCAACGCCGCGUGCGGGAUGACGGCCUUCGGGUUGUAAACCGCUUUCAGCAGGGGCGAAGCUUGUGGUGACGGUACCUGCAGAAGUAGCACCGGCUAACUACGUG